rnacentral:rRNA from 1 species
GAUGAACGCUGGCGGCGUGCCUAAUACAUGCAAGUCGAGCGAACGGACGAGAAGCUUGCUUCACUGAUGUUAGCGGCGGACGGGUGAGUAACACGUGGAUAACCUACCUAUAAGACUGGGAUAACUUCGGGAAACCGGAGCUAAUACCGGAUGAUAUUUUGAACCGCAUGGUUCAAAAGUGAAAGACGGUCUUGCUGUCACUUAUAGAUGGAUCCGCGCUGCAUUAGCUAGUUGGUAAGGUAACGGCUUACCAAGGCAACGAUGCAUAGCCGACCUGAGAGGGUGAUCGGCCACACUGGAACUGAGACACGGUCCAGACUCCUACGGGAGGCAGCAGUGGGGAAUCUUCGGCAAUGGGCGAAAGCCUGACGGAGCAACGCCGCGUGAGUGAUGAAGGUCUUCGGAUCGUAAAACUCUUUUAUUAGGGAAGAACAUAUGUGUAAGUAACUGUGCACAUCUUGACGGUACCUAAUCAGAAAGCCACGGCUAACUACGUG